rnacentral:rRNA from 1 species
CCCUUAGAUGUUCUGGGCUGCAUGCGCGCUACACUGACGCACGCAACAGGUGCCUGCUCCGAGAGGACUGGGUAAUCAUUUGAGUGUGCGUCGUGAUGGGGAUAGAAUAUUGUAAUUAUUACUCUUCAACGAGGAAUUCCUAGUAAGCGCCAGUCAGCAGCUUGCGCUGAUUACGUCCCUGCCCUUUGUACACACCGCCCGUCGCACCUACCGAUUGGAUGGUCCGGUGAAGCCUCGGGAUUGUGGUUCUUGCCGCUUUAUUGUGGCGUGACCGCGAGAACUUGUCUAAACCUUAUCAUCUAGAGGAAGGUGAAGGCGUAACA